GGGGAUUAGUGGCGAACGGGUGAGUUAACACGGUGGGCAAUCUGCCCUGCACUCUGGGACAAGCCCUGGAAACGGGGUCUAAUACCGGAUAUGACUGUCCAUCGCAUGGUGGAUGGUGUAAAGCUCCGGCGGUGCAGGAUGAGCCCGCGGCCUAUCAGCUUGUUGGUGAGGUAGUGGCUCACCAAGGCGACGACGGGUAGCCGGCCUGAGAGGGCGACCGGCCACACUGGGACUGAGACACGGCCCAGACUCCUACGGGAGGCAGCAGUGGGGAAUAUUGCACAAUGGGCGAAAGCCUGAUGCAGCGACGCCGCGUGAGGGAUGACGGCCUUCGGGUUGUAAACCUCUUUCAGCAGGGAAGAAGCGAAAGUGACGGUACCUGCAGAAGAAGCGCCGGCUAACUACGUGCCAGCAGCCGCGGUAAUACGUAGGGCGCAAGCGUUGUCCGGAAUUAUUGGGCGUAAAGAGCUCGUAGGCGGCUUGUCACGUCGGUUGUGAAAGCCCGGGGCUUAACCCCGGGUCUGCAGUCGAUACGGGCAGGCUAGAGUUCGGUAGGGGAGAUCGGAAUUCCUGGUGUAGCGGUGAAAUGCGCAGAUAUCAGGAGGAACACCGGUGGCGAAGGCGGAUCUCUGGGCCGAUACUGACGCUGAGGAGCGAAAGCGUGGGGAGCGAACAGGAUUAGAUACCCUGGUAGUCCACGCCGUAAACGGUGGGCACUAGGUGUGGGCAACAUUCCACGUUGUCCGUGCC
rnacentral:rRNA from 2 species